rnacentral:lncRNA from 1 species
UUCAUGGCUUGUCUUCUGCUUCUCUGCAGGGCAUCCUCUGAAAUGCUCCCAGCCUUUGGCAAGAGAAGGAAGGAGGCCCAAACCAGUCCCUGAGCCAGAGGCAGAACUCCGUCAUCUUCUCUCCUAGCAACUUGAAAUUGAUGGUGUUGACAUGAGGUCCUACAGGACAGUGCCCUCUGCCCACUUGGGCUCCCAGCCAUGCCCAGAAGGCUCCAUGAUGUCAGCUGCAAAACAGUCAACAAUCACAUGUACCCACCCCUAAACACUGAGACCCUAAAGUGACUCUUGUAAUCCAAGAGAUGAGUUUUGGCCCCAAUCUAGGCCAAUAUCCGCCGACUUUCCCCUGAGUCCCCUGAACAGACUUCGAGGAGGGCUUUCUCUUGAUCAGCUCUCCCCAGAUCCUCACAACCUCCAGGACCCUCCGUUUGAAAGCGGAGCCCAUUGUCCUGGUUCUCUCCCCUCUUGAUUGUUACUGAUGGUGGGGACUUGUUCGGACACCUCUGGAAACACAAUCAUAAUCAGAGUGUCUUUCAUCUUUGGACUCUUUGGUUCCUGCUCACCCAUUACACUGAGUGAAUGAACUGAGGUGGCAUACUGGGGACUGUGCCCAGCCAGGACUGACCUCUUCAGGCCUCCGAUUCUGGCUCAGAGCAGCAGAGACCAAUUUCGUCAAGGCCUUCGUCUGGACAAGGGCUCACGCGACGCUACCCAGCCUGCGUGGCCCGCCCGGACCGUGAAGGGACAGUCCUCCCGGCUGCCUCUGGACACUACUCGGCCGCUAGGGUUCUCGCCACAGUCCUGCCCACAACCAUAAUGAAUGGAGGAAUGAACACGGCCGAGGUCCUGGAUUCUCGCUCAGCCUCGUCUCUGCCAGUGUGUCCUGGGCCAGAGGCGGAGCCCCAGCCCCAU